CUGUGUACUACUUAUUCGUUCAUUUAAAAAAAAUAUGUUGAACAUUCAUGUGUUUUUGCAUUGAAAUCAAUAACAAAACAUGUCAACAAACAACAUUUAUGGAUUUACUAUCCAGAGCUGCAAUUAAAUCUCAUUUGUACUUUAAAGGUGUACUAUGUAACUUUGUCUGGUGCUAUUUGCCUGUCUUUAUAGAAAUGUUAUUGCUUUGCCUGGAAUGUUCCACAGUAUUGCAUUAAACCUAUCGCCACGGAGACAAGCAGGAGGAGACCCCACUCACUGUAAGAAUGCAUGGUUUUGAUGUGUUUUAUUUUCAGCAAUAAAACAUCUUUAAAGCAGACAUAUUGUGCUUGUGUCUGCUAAACAUUUGUAUCUAUGACACCCAUGGAUCAUUGUUUGGACAUCGCAAAAUCUCAAUAUUAAUCGACAUAAUAAACCAUGGACAGCUGCAGAUCACACUGACGAGCCACAGAUUCAUUUGUACUAAAAUGACAAUGCAACAGAUUAAUCCUACACAUAUAAGAAAAUUAAAUAGAAUGAAGUAAGUACAGAUCAGUGGCUGCAGUGAAUGGGGACCGAUCAGCAAUAUGGCACCCUGAAAAUAAGCAAUUUAAGGAUGCUCGGACAUGUACGAAUCACUCCAAAUACAACUUUGGGUGUGUGAAUGGUGAGGGGAAACACUGAAUGUUGUAUUGUGGAACAUUACAGGCAAAGUAAAAACAUGUCAAUGGCAGAGCCCUUAGCAGAACAGUUACAUAGUUACACUUUAAAACACAAACGUUUUCUGAUAAACGCAUGGGAUUCUUGUAUUAAUAGCCAUAGAUCACUCAUGAAUAUAAAAAAAGAGAAAACACCUGGUUCAUGCUAAAUAUGACUGGACAUUAUAAUGACUAUUUUAUAUUUUUUCUUGCAAUUUGAUCAUGACUCAUGUAAUUGGUUUCUUUAUAUAUGCUAUUAAGACAGAACAUAUCUCACGGUGAUUGGUUAAUGCACCUGUCACUUAACUCAGAGCGUGACAGAGGCUGACCAAUAGGCCACGCUCAUGUUUUAGAACUUGAUGGCAUAAUCUCAGAUGGAGGACGGGACUAUAAAACUCUAACAGAGAUUCAAUGUUUUUGAUGAAAUAUCCAAACUUAUGAUCCACAAAUGUUGAACCUCAUCCACAAACCUGUCAUAUUUUAUGGCUUAAGGCCUUUCAACUGACAAUGUCUUUGGGGUUGAAUGGUCAUACCACUUUCUGACGGUACUGUGAAAAACAAAAUUACUUUUGUUUUUUUAUACUGACACAGAAGAUGUUGAACUUUGUGUCAGCUUUUGUUUCAUGCAGAUAGGCCCAGUAAUUACAGAGAUAUUAACCAUAAACCAGGUCAACAAAUCUACAAUCUGACAGUUAAACAACAAAUUUCUCCACAGACUUUACUCACCUGUCCUCCAGCUCAGUUUUAAUCACUGUGAUCACUACCUCCACCUACAGCAAUUCCAAAUCCAGUUGGCUCUUAUUCAUUUACACAUACAUUAUAUAGUGCAAUUACAUCAUAGAAAAUAUUAAAGGCCAUAUUCUUUUACCAGGAGAGGAGCAGUUUUUUGCUUUUUUUAAAUCUUGUUGACAGUUUCAAAGGCUGCUGAAUAGGCCAAGCUGGUAAGUGCAUAUGACAGGUUAGACUACUCAUUUCACUUAAACAAAAUUAAUGUCAUUAUUUUGUGAGAUUUUACAAAAAAAAAAUUUUUUAAGUUUAUAAUUUCACUUCUUGGUUGAAGCACCAGAUAUGAUUGGGUAGAGGUAAUUAUAAAACUGUUACUUGGCAACCAUAAUGUUAACAAGGGCCAAAAAUUCUAAAUUGCACAAUAGUUAUGAUUAGGUUAAUAAAAUUAAUGACAGCACCUUUAUUUUGUUAAAUUAAGGUUUAAACUAUGAGAAACAUACCUUCCUUUUCACAUAAAUAUGACUCAACCUGUUGAGCUGCACUGUGACUUUUGUGUGAACUUUAUUCUUAUUGUAUUUUACUGUUCAAAGUGCUUAAAUUGUCCUUCACGAACAAAUAAUGUGGUACUGUUUGAUAGAUUGACAAAUUGUCCCUGCAUUUUGGAUGGAAUUUUCAGGUGUUGAUGACAUAGGUAGAAGUAUUCCAUUUUAGAACUCAUUGCUGUUUCCAGUAUUUUUGUACUUAACUUUUUUUUUCCAAAAACUGCCACUUAACCACAGGUACUAUCAUAAUUAGAAAAAUAACAAAACCUGUCAUAUGCACUUUAAAACAUAAUUGUAAGGUCUAUAUCCCCUUUUGGAAGACAGACCAUAAAUCGUGGGUCUCAUGUGGAUCGGAUUGUCAGUUUAAAAAAUGUGCCUUAAGCCCCAAUAAAAGGAUUUGAAUUUAAAGUGCUUUUCAUCAGGUUUAAGAAUAAAUAUCACAAAAUAAGCUCUCGUGUACAGCCCUCGGACCGGAGUAUGUCCACAUGUUUGGUUUACAGUGGGAUUGGUCGCUUCUCCAUCGACCUUCCAGUCUCACUUUGGCACUCGGGUUUCUGCACUUCUAGCUUCAGUGUCUAUCAGAGGGGGACUCCUCAGGGUGCUGUUCUGGCUGUUCUGGCUCUUCUCUCUCUCCCUCCUCUCUCCUCUUCGUCACUUCUCCCUCCUCCUCCUCCUCCUCCUCCUCACUGUCCUCCAGGGCAAAGUAGCGUCUCCUCCUCUGAGCUCUGGACACAGUAGUGGAUGGAGCGGACGGCCUUUGAGGGAAGUCC
ensembl:lncRNA